UUUUUCCAAUCCUGAUUCUGAAAGACCCCCAAAGUGGGGAGACUCUCACUCAAGUCUUGGGAUGACGCGACCCCCCAAGAACUCACUAGAGACG
rnacentral:pre_miRNA from 14 species